rnacentral:rRNA from 1 species
CAGCCGCCACGGUAAUACAGAGGGUGCGAGCGUUAAUCGGAUUUACUGGGCGUAAAGCGUGCGUAGGCGGCUUUUUAAGUCGGAUGUGAAAUCCCUGAGCUUAACUUAGGAAUUGCAUUCGAUACUGGGAAGCUAGAGUAUGGGAGAGGAUGGUAGAAUUCCAGGUGUAGCGGUGAAAUGCGUAGAGAUCUGGAGGAAUACCGAUGGCGAAGGCAGCCAUCUGGCCUAAUACUGACGCUGAGGUACGAAAGCAUGGGGAGCAAACAGGAUUAGAUACCCCAGUAGUCCAUGUCUCUUAUAC